rnacentral:rRNA from 1 species
CUACGGGUUGCACCAGUGAGGAAUAUUGCGCAAUGGGCGAAAGCCUGACGCAGCCACGCCGCGUGGAGGAAGACACCCCUAUGGGGCGUAAACUCCUUUUAUGUGAGAAGAAAGUCCUGGUCUCCAGGGCCUGACGGUAUCACAUGAAUAAGCACCGGCUAACUCCGUGCCAGCAGCCGCGGUAAUACGGAGGGUGCAAGCGUUGUCCGGAAUCACUGGGUGUAAAGGGUGUGUAGGCGGGGCUGUAAGUCAGAGGUGAAAUCCUACGGCUCAACCGUAGAACUGCCUUUGAUACUGCAGCUCUUGAAUCUCGGAGAGGUCACUAGAAUUCGUGGUGUAGCGGUGAAAUGCGUAGAUAUCACGAGGAAUACCAGAUGCGUAGGCGGGUGACUGGACGAGUAUUGACGCUGAGGCACGAAAGCGUGGGGAGCAAACAGGAUUAGAUACCCGCGUAGUU